rnacentral:rRNA from 1 species
GACGUAGGGCGCGAGCGUUGUCCGGAUUUAUUGGGCGUAAAGAGCUCGUAGGCGGCUUGUCGCGUCGGCUGUGAAAACCCGCGGCUCAACUGUGGGCGGGCAGCUGAUACGGGCAGGCUGGAGUUCGGUAGGGGAGACUGGAAUUCCUGGUGUAGCGGUGAAAUGCGCAGAUAUCAGGAAGAACACCAACGGCGAAGGCAGCUCGCUGGGACGGAACUGACGCUGAGGCGCGAAAGCGUGGGGAGCGAACAGG